rnacentral:rRNA from 1 species
UACGUAGGCAGCAAGCGUUGUUCGGAGUUACUGGGCGUAAAGAGUGCGUAGGCGGUCCUAUAAGUUCCGUGUGAAAUCUCCGGGCUUAACUCGGAACGGCCAAGUGAAACUGUCAUGCUAGAGUGCAGAAGGGGCAAUCGGAAUUCUUGGUGUAGCGGUGAAAUGCGUAGAUAUCAAGAGGAACACCUGAGGUGAAGGCGGGUUGCUGGGCUGACACUGACGCUGAGGCGCGAAAGCCAGGGGAGCAAACGGG